GAGUUUGAUCCUGGCUCAGGAUGAACGCUAGCGGAAGGCCUAAUACAUGCAAGUCGAGGGGUAACAGGAGAGCUUGCUCUCGCUGACGACCGGCGCACGGGUGAGUAACGCGUACGUAACCUACCUUCAAGAAAGGGAUAGCCCUGGGAAACUGGGAUUAAUACCUUAUAGUAUCAUAAGACCGCAUGGUUUAAUGAUUAAAGCUCCGGCGCUUGAAGAUGGACGUGCGUUCUAUUAGAUAGUUGGUGAGGUAACGGCUCACCAAGUCAGCGAUAGAUAGGGGGCGUGAGAGCGUGGUCCCCCACACGGGUACUGAGACACGGACCCGACUCCUACGGGAGGCAGCAGUAAGGAAUAUUGGACAAUGGGCGCAAGCCUGAUCCAGCCAUUCCGCGUGUAGGAUGACGGCCCUCUGGGUUGUAAACUACUUUUAUUUGGGAAGAAACCCUGGGAUUUAUCCUGGGCUGACGGUACCAAAAGAAUAAGCACCGGCUAAUUCCGUGCCAGCAGCCGCGGUAAUACGGAAGGUGCAAGCGUUAUCCGGAAUCACUGGGUUUAAAGGGUGCGUAGGCGGUUGCGUAAGUCAGAAGUGAAAGCUCACAGCUUAACUGUGGAAUUGCUUUUGAUACUGCGCGACUAGAAUCAGGUUGAGGUUGGCGGAAUGUGACAUGUAGCGGUGAAAUGCAUAGAUAUGUCAUAGAACACCAAUUGCGAAGGCAGCUGACUGGACCUGUAUUGACGCUGAGGCACGAAAGCGUGGGGAGCGAACAGGAUUAGAUACCCUGGUAGUCCACGCCCUAAACGAUGCUUACUCGAUGUGUGAAUUAUUGCGCAUCC
rnacentral:rRNA from 1 species